GUAGGUGGCAAGCGUUGUCCGGAAUUAUUGGGCGUAAAGCGCGCGCAGGCGGUCCUUUAAGUCUGAUGUGGAAGCCCACGGCUCAACCGUGGAGGGUCAUUGGAAACUGGGGGACUUGAGUACAGAAGAGGAAAGCGGAAUUCCAAGUGUAGCGGUGAAAUGCGUAGAGAUUUGGAGGAACACCAGUGGCGAAGGCGGCUUUCUGGUCUGUAACUGACGCUGAGGCGCGAAAGCGUGGGGAGCAAACAGGAUUAGAUACCCUGGUAGUCCACGCCGUAAACGAUGAGUGCUAAGUGUUAGGGGGUUUCCCGCCCCCUUAGUGCUGCAGCUAACGCAUUAAGCACUCCGCCUGGGGAGUACGGCCGCAAGGCUG
rnacentral:rRNA from 1 species